GUGCGACGGCCACAAAACUGCGUGCGGGACACGCGACUGGCAGCAUUGGCUCGAGUGCGAUUCAAGUGGUCGACUCUACGAACGACAACGAUUUUCAUUUGCACGUCACCUGGAGUUGAUCUAUUAAAGAAGUGCAACCAUGUUCCUGUCCCUGCUGUGUCUUCUGUGCUCUGCCCUCCUGUUGCACGGUCAGGCGGACGCUCAGCAGAGAUGGCAACCCCGUUGCCGAGCCUUGUGUAACAGCGAUUACGGCGGCUACUCUUGGGCCACCUGCCAAAGAUGCAGGCUCCGCAUCCCGUUGCGAUUCGGCAAGAGGGACCAUCUGCCGACAUCGGGAGAUAGUGGAGUCCGCUCCUUCGUCGUCGAUCAUCCAGACGUCAUCGACGACGGAGUCCAAGGCGACCUCUACUCUCCGACGUCUCUCGCUGACCGUUUCGGGUUCCUCAGGAAGAAGAGAAGUGUCGCGCAGUGAACGUCUUUCUGUUGUCCUCGCGGUUAGUCUUCUAUGGUCGUUCGGAAUCCGCGAACUUCGCGAACGCAAUCAGUAGACAUAAUUCUGCUUGUCGACAACAAAAGGUUGAACCUGAAAAGAACUCUCGGCGAAGCUUUCGUUUUGCCCGCAAUAAAAGUCGCGAAACGAGGCGCGAGUUUAUUUAUUUUAUUUAUUGUUUUACGACCGUGCUGCGUGGCACACGGGAACCUGAAGGCGCGUCAGCUUUCGGAAUUACGCCACAAAAAAAAAAAUAUGGCUACGCAAGAAAUUGUCAUUUCGGAAGCCAAGUAAAAUAUUUACUGUCGUCCGUUGAACGCGCGUCAGUAUUUCACUGUACAAACCACUAUGUAAGAUUUUAUGCGAAUCAUGUUGCAUGCGAUAAUAUUUAUUUGCACACCUGUUUAUGAAAGCCAUCUUCGGCAGUCCACAUGAUGUUAUCUUCCUGUGGUGAAAUAAAAGGAGUCUGCAGGG